rnacentral:lncRNA from 1 species
UUUUGCUCUCCAUUUUUAUGCAAAACCUUUUACAUUUUUAUUUUAUGGGUUAUUGUUGAAGGUCGUACGAUGACGUAUGGUUGUUAACACAUACUUCCUUUGGUUUCUUAUGGAAAUUUGUCCAUUGACAACAAACAUACCACAUCAUCUACUUUAUAUAAGUAUUGUAUAAAUUACAACGUAUUUUGGUGAUCUUGCAAAAUGAUCGUAAUCCCGAAAAUCGUAAACAUAUUUUCUUAUCUUAAAAGGGGGCAAGAAGGGUUCCAUUAACAGGCCAAUAAAUAAGAUUACAGUUAGUUUUAAAAAAAAUUAAAAAAAUAGGGGUAUUUUUUCUCUCAUAAUAACAGUAAACACAUUCACAACAAUGUCAAUUUCAAGAAAGCAGACAACAGCUAAUAAGUCAAUAACAGUACAGCAUCAAUGAUCUUGAAUAUAUGCCACUUUUAACUAAAAUAUAAAAGCACAGAACCAGGACAUAGGAGCACAGAACCAGGACCGUUUUUCUUAUCACCAGCACAGCGUCAGGACAAUUCCGUUUAACGAACUUGCAC